AAAGGUAAGCUACUAAGAGCGAAUGGUGGAUGCCUUGACUGGUAAAGGCGAUGAAGGACGUACUAGACUGCGAUAAGCUACGGGGAGCUGUCAAGAAGCUUUGAUCCGUAGAUUUCCGAAUGGGGCAACCCAGUAUAUAGAGAUAUAUACUACCAUAAUGGAGCGAACGUAGGGAAUUGAAACAUCUUAGUACCUACAGGAAGAGAAAUCAAUAGAGAUUACGUCAGUAGCGGCGAGCGAAAGCGUAAGAGGGCAAACCCAGUGCUUGCACUGGGGGUUGUAGGACUGCAAUGUGCAAUAAGUAAGGUUAGUAGAACACUCUGGAAAGUGUAGCCAUAGAGGGUGAUAGUCCCGUAUACGAAAACCGAAC
rnacentral:rRNA from 1 species